UUACUUUCCGGACAAACCCUGUAUUGCGAUGGAAACUGGAGAGAGAAUAUUGGAAUUCUCUCCGUUGA